UUUUGAAAUUAGACUUCACUCGAGUAUUAUAAAUUUUCAUGUAGGUUUCGAAAUGGAUCUUUCCAAGUCAAGAUGAAUUCAGUUUUGUUAUAUACAAACCUACAAAUAUCCAAAAACUAACGUAUAUGAAGCCGGUUGGAUAUUUGUACCAAAGUAACAAUAUUAACCUAUUCAGUUCAGGUAGUUUCAAAUCAAACUAAACAUAACCUAAAAAUAACCAAAUAACCAAUAGUAACCAUAUUUUCCUAUUUGAUUCGAGUUGAUUCUGAUAUAUAAAACUUAAAAGUAUUAAAAUAUACUUAUAUAUUUAAUUAUAUUAUAACACAUAUAAAAAAUAUAUAAUAUUAUCACGUAAACAAAAUUCAAUUUUUUUAAAAAAGUAAAAAUUAACACAUGCACAGACGUGCGGAUCAAUCUCUAUCAAUACUAUUAAAACAAAAGAACUUUUUAUAUACUAACAAAUAAUCUAGGUCGGAUCAUUACAUUUAUUUAACUUCAUAUUAUUUCUCAUACAACUAACUUACUUAUUAUUAAAUAUAUACUAUAUCUAACUAAUUAAUUUAAUAUUUUCAAAUAAGAUAUCUAAAAAGAUAUUCAUAAACAUCUUUUUCAAAAAAUAUAUUUUAAUAAUAUUUUUUUUUUAAAUCUAGUCAAUACUAUUAAAACAUAAACAAAUUCUAUCUACUUACAAAUAGUCUAGGUUGGACCAUUAAAUUUAAUUAAUUUUCAUAUUAUCUUUACUUAUGUCUAACUUAAUUAUAAUUAAAUAUAUUUCAUGCCUAAAAUUAAGGAAUUAAAUAACUAAUCUAUCAUUUUGCAUGCUAAUAAAUUCAGUUUAUAUUAAUAUUAAAUUUAAGUAACUAAUCAAUUAAAUAUUAUUUAUUCAUGCCUACUAAUAUGUAUAUAUACAACUGUACAUUAAUCAAAUGCAAGAAAUAAAUUCUUCAAAAACCCUCACCAAAUACAUAAAAAUAUAAAUAUUAUAGUUAGAUUAUCCAAAAUUAAAUAUACAUAUAUAUAUAUAUAUAUGAUAGCAUUAAAAAUAAAGAUAACAUAAAUAUUAAUAAGUAGCUACUAUUAAUAUUUAAAAUAUGAUAGAACAUGUUAUUAUUGAUACUUUUAUGAAUAUAGUUUUUACAGGUUAUUCGAACAUACAUGUAAUAUAUUUAUCAAAUAUAAACUAAUUCAACAAAUAAAUUAACACAAUUAUAUCAUAAAACAUUACAUUAACAACAAGAUUAAAUUAAUAAAUAAAUAAAUGAUUAUACUUUUUGAAACGUAAAACACUAAACAUUCAUGAAUAUAUAUUAGAAUAUUCAAAUUGUUGAUGCUCAAAUCUAUUUCUCACUUUUUAGUAUGUAUCCUCUCAAAAAUUGAUCCGUUACGCUUAUAACAAGAUGAAAAUUGGUUUGACUAAAUUUUUUUAUAGCUAUUUUUUGUAAAAUUAGAGCAUCACAUUCAUAAUAUAUCUACCAUAAACCAUUCAUCUAAACAUUCAUGAAUAUAUAUUAGAAUAUUCAAAAUAAAAUAAUUUAAGUCAAAUUGGAUUACAUAUCGGGUUACACAUCGGUUUAAUAAUCGGCUUCUCGGUUUUAAUAUUUUACGGGUUUUGUAAGAUUUUUAAAUAACGAGUUUAAAAAAAAAAACCAACUGAAUUAUAUAUCGGGUCACCAGGAUUGCCAGUUUAACCAUGGAUUCAGGUCGGAUUUCAAAACACUAAAUAUAACAUUUCAUUCAUAACAUUUAAAUGUAGAUAUACAAUCAAAAAUACAAAUUUAAAUCAAAUAAAUUUGGUUUGUUUCGGAAAUAAUCUCGCACUUUCAAAGUACAGAUCAAAAUCUAGUUAUUGUAUUAAAAUAGAAGUCAUGACUUCUUUUAUGUGUGAUAUUUCAUUUCGGACUUUCAACUAGAAAGUUAUCACAUUUAAUUAAAUGAAAUUAUCCUAUCAUUUACAUGUUAACUAGGAUAAAACAUGCGUCUUGCGUAGGAUAAGUUUAUUUGUAUAUAUUAUCAACAAUUGUUUUUAUAUAUUUGAUCAUUUUAUCUAUACAUAUACAAUAUUUUUGUUGUUAUUAUAUAAUUUAUUUCUGAUGGACUGAAUCAAUUUUUAUUAAAAAUUGUGAAACUAAACUAUAAUUAAUAUAUCAUGAGUUGUUCAGAUUGGACAUUUAAACAAAUUAUGACAUUAAUUUUCAUAUAUAUGUUAAUUAUAUUAGGUAAUUUCGUAGCUUUUAUUUAAAAUAAAAACACGUUUCUUAUAUUUUAGGGUUAAUAUAAUAUUUCCUAAUAAUUGGAUUUGAACCAACAUUUUUUCAAUUGAUUUUGAAGCUGCCACGUAAGUUAAUUGUCAUCUUAAUUAAGUGACACUUAAGCAUAGUCUUUUUUUUUAAUUAGUACAAAAGUAAGAUUACAAAUUUUUAAAUGAUCAUCAAUUAAUAUAUAGGGGAUUUUACCUUAAGUCGCACAUUGCCAUGAAAAAGUUCUAUAUUUUCCCAAAUUAUCCAGCCAAGAUUCGAGAAGGGGUUUUAAAGUUUUGUAAGUCUUCUCGAUCGUAGAGAAAUAGGCGAAUGAUUAACCUUUCUCUGUCCUCGACUGAGAAGAGCUCUCAAUAUCACUCCUCGCUUCUCAAUUCUAAGAUCUUUUCCAGAACUGUGCCUAAACCACGCUUCCACAAAGUUGUGUACCUUUAUUCAGAUUCCUUGGUCUGUUUGAUCACUACGGGUGUGUUGGCUAUGUAUGAGCUUUUGUCUCCUACUUGGUCAUCUACCAAAGUAAUGCAUUGACAAUGUACAAAUGCUCAGAGAAGAGGUGCAUCUGCUUCAGGAACAUGGGUCCUAUGUGGGUGAAGUGGUUAAAGUUAUGGGAAGGUCUCGGUUAAGGUUCAUCAAGAGGGAAAGUAUGUUGCUGAUAUCGACAAAAGUAUAGACAUAAAGAAGAUUAUUGCCAUCAACAAGAGUUGCUCUCCGUAACAAUAGCUAUGUUUUUCACCUGGUUCUGCCAAGUGAAAUAGGUCCGCUGGUCAACCUGAUGAUCGUUAAGAAGGUUUCAUACUCCACAUAUUACAUGAUUGGCCGUCUUGAUCACCAAAGAAGUAAAGGAAAAUGAUUGCGUAGGGAAAGAAAAAAAAAACGAAGCAAGUCUGGUUUAUGGGGUAUCCCUUAUGUUGUUUCAUGCUUUUUUGAUAUAUGUAACAUCUUAAUUGUUUGUACCGUCAUUGAGCUGCCAAUCAAGUCUCAUUAGGAACACAUGAGUUUUGAAGCUUCUUUCUCUUGUCGUAACGAUGUUAAGUGGAUUAUAGAAAUUUUAUUAAAUGUA